GGGGAGCUACGGCGCCCCAUACGAAACGGACCUGAUAGGUCCAAAGCAACGGAAGACAGAGA
ncrna:Rhodobacter capsulatus YW2 L2-Alphaproteobacteria ribosomal protein leader